GGGCCCGCACAAGCGGAGGAACAUGUGGUUUAAUUCGAUGAUACGCGAGGAACCUUACCCGGGCUCGAACGGCAGAUGUAUAUAGAUGAAAGUUUAUAGCUAGCAAUAGCAUUUGUCGAGGUGCUGCAUGGUUGUCGUCAGCUCGUGCCGUGAGGUGUCGGCUUAAGUGCCAUAACGAGCGCAACCCUUACCGUUAGUUACCAUCAGGUAAAGCUGGGGACUCUAGCGGGACUGCCACCGUAAGGUGUGAGGAAGGUGGGGAUGACGUCAAAUCAGCACGGCCCUUACGUCCGGGGCUACGACACGUGUUACAAUGGAUGGGACAGAAAGCAGCUACCUGGCGACAGGAUGCUAAUCUCCAAACCCAUUACCCAGUUCGGAUCGAAGUCUGCAACCCGACUUCGUGAAGCUGGAUUCGCUAGUAAUCGCGCAUCAGCCAUGGCG
rnacentral:rRNA from 1 species